AAUCUACCCUUUUGUUCAGGAUAACAUUUCGAAAGGAAUGCUAAUACUGAAUAAGCUCACAGAGGAGUAAUCCUCAGGGAGAAAAGAUAGGUUUUCGGAUCUUUCGCAGAGGGAUGAGCUUGCGUACCAUUAGUUUGAUGGUGGGGUAAAGGCCUACCAUGGCGAAGAUGGUUAGCUGGUCUGAGAGGACGAUCAGUCACACUGGAACUGAGACACGGUCCAG
rnacentral:rRNA from 1 species